rnacentral:rRNA from 1 species
UACGAAGGGGGCUAGCGUUGCUCGGAAUCACUGGGCGUAAAGGGUGCGUAGGCGGGGCUUUAAGUCAGGGGUGAAAUCCUGGAGCUCAACUCCAGAACUGCCUUUGAUACUGAGGAUCUUGAGUUCGGGAGAGGUGAGUGGAACUGCGAGUGUAGAGGUGAAAUUCGUAGAUAUUCGCAAGAACACCAGUGGCGAAGGCGGCUAUCUGGACGGUUUCUGACGCUAAGACGCGAAAGCGUGGGGAGCAAACAGG